CCGAAAAGGCGGCCGUGGUGGAGGCGGGGCUUCUUCUUGGCGCCUCAGCCGUGAAUUUACCUCAGGAAACGGGGCCUCGUUUGGCGCCCAGUUGAAGAGUUGAAAGAGGAGAGAGACGCCUUUCCUUUGGGGAGUCACUUUUACCUCAGGAAAGGCUUUUCUUCCCGUCCAGAGGACCCUCUCUCUCCCACUCGAUUUUAGAAAUUUCUUUAUCAAACCUUUACCUCAGAAAAGCCUUGUGAAAUAGAAAGAAGAAAAUGCCAAUUUUAUUUAUUAAGAGAUUGUCACCUCAGACUUUACCUCAGAAAUGGCCAAGCCUUGUGAAACGGAAGGGAGAAACAAAGGCAAAACUUUUGAAAAUUAGCACAGCUUUUUCUGAAGGGACCAGAAAUUUCUUUAUCGAACCUUUACCUCAGAAAAGCCUUGUGAAAUAGAAAGAAGAAAAUGCCAAUUUUAUUUAUUAAGAGAUGGUCAUCUCAGACUUUACCUCAGAAAUGGCCAAGCCUUGUGAAACGGAAGGGAGAAACAAAGGCAAAACUUUUGAAAAUUAGCACAGCUUUUUCUGAAGGGACCAGCGCUGAAUUCAAGUCAAAGGGAAGAAAGGGAAGAAACAAAAGGUCGAAGAGACAGAAGACAGAAGAUGCUUGAAGACACUCUCGCAAGGACACCGCCCGCCCCCCAAAAAAGGUCAUUGUCAGGGUAAUGGGUGUCAGGCUAGGCAUUUCAUGUCUAUCUUUGCAAUAAAAAACAGGCUACCUGUGUGCUAGGCUUUUGCAUGAAGAACACGGUUCCCCUCGUGUGUGGCAUCGAAGGUUCCCACUCGGGAACGGACGGGUCCUCCCUUUGUUCUAGGCAGAUGAUGGGGGUUUUCCUAUACAAGCCGUAGGGGCCACAGCUUGGGGGGCAGCGGGGGGCCCGGCCCUGGCACCGCGGGGAGCAGCACACCUUACGGGCAUUUUAAAAGCUCCCUUAAACUUAGACAGUGGCUAGCAAUAAAAAUAUUAAUACCUUAACUCACCUACUAACCCUACUAACACCAUUCUAACUAGGGCAGGCUGGCCUUUUAAAUAGGACUGUGUUUUGCCUGCUGGCAAGAACCAAGCUGGGAGGGAAGGGGGCCUCCUGGCCCCCCAUAGAAGGGCUCCCCUAGAAGGACAUUCAAAAGGCCCGCAAGGUGUCCUGAGAGCAGCCCCUGGGGCCCUCAGUGUGCCCCCCACGGUGCCAGGGCUGGGCCCCCCGCUCUCCCCCAACCCAUGACCCCUGCCGCCUGUAUCUCGUCCGCCCAGGGCCAACGGACGCCCCCUCCCUCCCCGGGCGGAGCUUCGGCGCCACACACAAGGGGAGGCCAGCCGUGGCCGCCAGAACAUGGCCAACCUGGUUUUGGACUGCAAACAUAGGCAUGUAGGGACCCCCUUUUAUUUAUGUACGGCCACCCACCCAGGGGACCUGGUUAAAGGGGAUCCUCUAUUCUUAAAGUAAGGCCUAUAGAGAUCUCCUAUCCAGAAACUAAGGCGGCUUGGCCUAUAGAGAUCCCCUUUUGUUAAACUAAGGUGGCCUGGCCUAUAGAGAUCUCUUGUUGUUAAACUAAGGUGGCCUGGCCUAUAGAGAUCUCUUGUUGUUAAACUAAGGUGGCCUGGCCUAUAGAGAUCUCUUGUUGUUAAACUAAGGUGGCCUGGCCUAUAGAGAUCUCUUGUUGUUAAACUAAGGUGGCCUGGCCUAUAGAGAUCUCCUAUUCUUUAAGGUAACGCCAGGCGAUGUGGAGAUCCCUGGUUCUUUUAACCCUUAAGGCCAACCGUGGGGAGAUCCCUGGUUCUUUUAACCCUUAAGGCCAACCGUGGGGAGAUCCCUGGUUCUUUUAACCCUUAAGGCCAACCGUGGGGAGAU